rnacentral:rRNA from 1 species
UGAACGCUGGCGGCGUGCCUAAUACAUGCAAGUCGAACGAGGCCCUUUGUAUUCGUACGAAGGUGUCCUAGUGGCGAACGGGUGAGUAACGCGUUGGUGACCUACCCCAAAGUCUGGGAUAACAGUUCGAAAGGACUGCUAAUACCGGAUGUGGUCAUCGGAUUUAGAAACCGAUGUCUAAAGGAUUUAUUCGCUUUGGGAGGGGCCUGCGUCCCAUCAGCUAGUUGGUAAGGUAACGGCUUACCAAGGCGACGACGGGUAGGGGACCUGAGAGGGUGGCCCCCCACAAUGGAACUGAAACACGGUCCAUACAUCUACGGAUGGCAGCAGUAGGGAAUAUUGCACAAUGGGCGAAAGCCUGAUGCAGCAACGCCGCGUGUGCGAAGAAGGCCUUCGGGUCGUAAAGCACUUUUCUGGGAGAUGAGAAAGGACAGUAUCCCAGGAAUAAGUCUCGGCUAACUAC